UCGGCAUUUUUCAUGCAUUUUCUUGUGCUCUUUGGCCAUGAGUUCAUGAGACUUUUCUAGAACUGCCACCCUGUCCAUCGUGUCACUCAUCGCUUUCCCCAUCUCCGUGCACUCGUUUGUCGCUUCGGCCUGAGCUUUAUGUAGGGCGGCCAGCUCGGGAAAUAUUUCCUCUCGCAGGUCUUCUUUCACUUCUUCUUUAUUCUUUUGCAUCUCCAAAUCUAGGUUUUCAAUUUGCGACUUAAUGUCCUUAAUCACAGCCUCUUGGUGUGUAUGUAGUUGGGUCAAAGACGUGACGCUUGCUUUUUCUGUCCGACUGAACUUUUUACCAAUUAAUAAACAUUAAAAUGAAUAAAAUUAUAACAUGUAUGUCUACCACCUCCCUUAUACAUAUGCCCACUCUUAUUUCUUUAAAAAUAAUUGGCUUAUUGGCCAUUUUCUGCCAUCUGAAGUGUGAAAACAUCAUGUGGGGCGACCGUCCGGCCUUGACUUCUGUUUGGACAACUGGUUUUAAAUCAAACUAAAAUAAUUUAAAUAUAAUCCUUACCCUAUUUGGCAUAAUUUGUUUUCCAUUGAUUGACAAAGUUAUGAAACAUUUGUACACACAUUUCAAUCAUAAUAAACAAACAAAUCUUGUCCGAAGAUGUUCAUUGUCUGAAAUAUCAUCUGGGGCGACCAUCAAGAAAAUACAAUUAAGGGACUUUUAUUUUGACAAUCAUCUCAAAGAGGAUGUUGCAUCAGCCAGCCUCAUGGUGAGGGUCCCACAGAGACAACUAGCAGAUGGCCCCACUAACAAGCAAAGAAAAGACUGCACGCUACAGGCAGCGGAUCAAUGCAGAUCCUGUAGCAAGAGCUGACUAUCUUGCCAGGAAAAAAGAAAGCUACCAGAGAAGAAAGCAAAAGGGCACAAUCAAAUACAUGAAGUCAGAUGAACUAUCAGAGAGAGAGAGGAAGAACUCUCUACUGGGUGACAAGUGAGAGCAUUGAAAAAUGUGACGAGUUGAUUCCUGGCAAUUUGGAGGCUGUAAAAGGCACCAUGAAGAUACACCAAGAUGUGUCAUCACAGCCUGCAAAGAUAACACACAGGGAAGUAUCUUGCUUCUGCAAGCACUUAGAGAUGAGUCCAUGCCCUUGUUACCAGCCAAAAAUGGUAGACCUGAAAGCCACCAUACAGCAAACCGAGAAACCUGAGGACCCCUCAAGCUCUCCACCUGAGCCACCUAGGCAAGAAGAAAGUGUCCAAGAUCUAUGUGGAAGGUUUGUGAUAGUAACCUACGACGAGCUUCCAUAUGUAGGUCAGGUCCUAAAGGUUGUGGAAGAGGAACUGCAGAUAAGCUGUAUGCGACAGUCUGAUGACAAGAACUUGUUCUUAUGGCCAAAAACUCCAGAUGUUACUUUCUACUUUAGGAAAGAUGUUCAUGCUGUCAUUUCAGAACCCGAGCCAGCAAAUUCACGCUUCUCAAAGUUGACCUGCCAAGACUGGGUAGCAUUCAGAAAUUGCUGGGGUUAAAGAAAUGCCUACAAUGUGUCUGCAGAAUGCUGUUAUGUUCAAGUGUUAAAUGAAAUCGUAAGAAAAAUGCAAACAUUGUACGUUUAAGUGAUUAAUGUAAUGAAAAUGGAAAAAGGAAAAUGCUGUUCAAUGUGUCUGCAGAAUGCUGCUAUGUUCAACUGUUAAAUGAAAUAGUAAUGAAAAGGCAAACAUUGUAUGUUUAAGUGAUUAAUGAAAUGAAAUGAAAUGAAAAUGAAAAAGGAAAAUGCUGUUCAAUGUUAUGUCCAAGCGUUUAAUGCAUUAGUAUUGAAAAUAUUAAUAUGAUGGUUAUGUGUCAAAUGAAAUAGUGAGGAAAAUGUUAAUGUUAUGAAA